ACUUUAGCUUGUCGGUGGAAACUUGAAAAAGCGAAAAGCUAUGACAACACAAAGAAAGAGAAGGAAACAAAAGCUCACUAUAAAGAACUGGCCGUUGGAGAUUCAUUUGAGGGUAUGAUUUGCGAAACCCUUCCUUAAAAAUUCAAGUAGAUGGAUUUUCACUCACUUAGCAUUCCUGAGACAGAGCUGCCAUUGUUCUGGGAG